rnacentral:rRNA from 1 species
AGCAGCCGCGGUCAUUCCAGCUCCAAUAGCGUAUAUUAAAGUUGUUGCAGUUAAAAAGCUCGUAGUUGAAUUUCGGGGUUAGUAGGUUGGUCAUGCCUCUGGUAUGUACUGGUCUCACUGAUUCCUCCUUCCUGAUGAACCUUAAUGCCAUUAAUUUGGUGUUUUGGGGAAUUUGGACUGUUACUUUGAAAAAAUUAGAGUGUUUAAAGCAAGCUAACGCUUGAAUACAUUAGCAUGGAAUAAUGAAAUAGGACGUUCGAUCCUAUUUUGUUGGUUUCUAGGAUUGACGUAAUGAUUAAUAGGGAUAGUUGGGGGCAUUAGUAUUCAAUUGUCAGAGGCGAAAUUCUUGGAUUUAUUGAAGACUAACUACUGCGAAAGCAUUUGCCAAGGAUGUUUUCAUUAAUCAAGAACGAAAGUUAGGGGAUCGAAGACGAUCAGAUACCGUCGUAGUCUUAACCAUAAACUAUGCCGACUAGGGAUCGGAUGAUGUUAGUUUUUUAAUGACUCA